GCUCCCGCGAAGGGUACCGGAAUCGACCGAGGAUAGCCAAAUGCGAGUUAGCGAUCAGCCAAUGUGUCACUGAAAUCGGAAUCGGCGAGAAAGUGAGGACAUGACAAGAUAGCGAACGUCAUAAAAGCUCGUAUGAAUAUCGAACGAAGGAAUGCCUCAUUAUAACGACAUGAGUGACAUUUGAACUAAUCAGCCUAUUUUGCUUUACGCUAAAGGCAGUGGGAAUGAAUACUUGGAUAUUGAUAAGAUACCUUUGUGAGGGGAAAGCCAUUUAUUCCUGAAUAGAAUUAUACUGCAGUCAUGACGACAGGUUCACGACGAAUGAUGAUAUAAAUACAACGUAAAGCCUCUCUAAUUAAACCUUCUGGAUUAAUGAACACGAGUGUGCUUUUUAAUGAUGAAAUUCAUGAUCCAUGAAAGACUACGUAUACUGUGAAUACCGUAUUGAACACCGAUAUAGACCGAAGAUUCCUUUGAAACCGAAGCCAUUAGAGGCCGAGUAUAUUGGUGUAUACUAGGUAUUUGGUCAUUGACAUGAUAUAAUACAUCAUUGAAUUAUACAUUGAUUGGCCAGUACCCGAUCACUGACGCGGAUAUGAUAAUAACGGCCGUCCUUGCUUGUUUUCUUUUGGCCGCAGUACAAGUCAAUAAAAUGUUUACCUAUACAACGACAGUCGCGAACUCAAUCACACUACUCCAAUAUAAUAUAUAAUUAAACAACGGGUUACUGGCAAAUGGUGAUGUGGUCCUAUAUUAAGGUUUGUUAUUGAUAGUAAUUAGUGUUAUAGGAUCAUAAAUGACACCAUCUGCUAAGACAUGCAUUAUUAAGUAUAUUAAAAUUCCAUUAGUAAAAUGAAUGUUGUCACAAAAUGAAUCGUGACAUCAUUAUAGUGGUCACAUGAUCUAAUGGUGUUACAGUCCCACAACAUCCAUCUAAUAUUUAGGCCACGUAUGCUGUUUUGAGUUUGUCAAUAAAGUGCGCAGAUUUGA